rnacentral:rRNA from 1 species
CCAUACAAGAGACCCAAAUUAACUGUCCAUCCGGCGUAAAGAGUGGCAAGAUGUUAUCCCACCAACUAAGGUCAAAAUGCGACCAAGCUGUCAUAAGCCCAAGACGCACCUAAACCCACCCCAAAAUAGAUCCUAGCAUCCACGAUCAAUUUCAACCCACGAAAGCUAGGGCACAAACUGGGAUUAGAUACCCCACUAUGCCUAGCCCUAAAUCCAGAUACUUUUACCCUACCAAAGUAUUCGCCCGAGAACUACGAGCACAAACGCUUAAAACUCUAAGGACUUGGCGGUGUCCCAAACCCACCUAGAGGAGCCUGUUCUAUAACCGAUAACCCACGAUACACCCAACCACCUCUCGCCAACACAGCCUACAUACCGCCGUCGCCAGCUCACCUCCCUUGAAAGUCCCACAGUGAGCCCAAUAGUUUUCUCCCGCUAACAAGACAGGUCAAGGUAUAGCCCAUGGGGUGGAAGAAAUGGGCUACAUUUUCUAGCAUAGAACACACGGCAACGGGGCAUGAAACCGCCCCCAGAAGGAGGAUUUAGCAGUAAAGUUGAACAAUAGAGUCUACUUUAAACCGGCUCUGGGACACGUACAUACCGCCCGUCACCCUCUUCACAGGCCCGCCUACCCGCAUAAAUAAUCAACCCUACAAUAAGCCAAAGACGAGGUAAGUCGUAACAA